rnacentral:rRNA from 1 species
AUUGAACGCUGGCGGCAGGCUUAACACAUGCAAGUCGAGCGGGGCGAUGGUGCUUGCACUAUCACUUAGCGGCGGACGGGUGAGUAAUGCUUAGGAAUCUGCCUAUUAGUGGGGGACAACAUCUCGAAAGGGAUGCUAAUACCGCAUACGUCCUACGGGAGAAAGCAGGGGAUCACUUGUGACCUUGCGCUAAUAGAUGAGCCUAAGUCGGAUUAGCUAGUUGGUGGGGUAAAGGCCUACCAAGGCGACGAUCUGUAGCGGGUCUGAGAGGAUGAUCCGCCACACUGGGACUGAGACACGGCCCAGACUCCUACGGGAGGCAGCAGUGGGGAAUAUUGGACAAUGGGGGGAACCCUGAUCCAGCCAUGCCGCGUGUGUGAAGAAGGCCUUAUGGUUGUAAAGCACUUUAAGCGAGGAGGAGGCUCUUUUGGUUAAUACCCAAGAUGAGUGGACGUUACUCGCAGAAUAAGCACCGGCUAACUCUGUGCCAGCCGCCGCAGUAAUAC